UUCCAAUGGAGAACUGGAGGUGGACACCCAUUCUUUUGGAGUCGCGUUGCGAAAGUAAUGCACAGAAAGAGUUUCUUAACCUCUGAAUCCCAACAUCUUCAUAUCCAAAAGCUUCGAGUCCACGCCUUCCAAGUUGACCAAGAAGAGUAGUAAUAGCAGCAGCAUUGUGCUCUGUUGAACAAUAUUCCAAUAAAUCCAAUAGUGGACAUGCAAUUUUGUCAAACAUCCAAUCCCAGCUCAUGAAACCUGCAACUAGCUCCAUCAGUGCAAGGGUAUCAAUGAACUGGCUUGAAUCCCUCAAAGUAACAUAUGCCCACUGUACUAAAUCUACAUUAUCUGUGGAUUCCUCAUUUUUCUUUCCAUCACAUUUCAUUCCAUGUCUUGAUGAGUUCAAUGAUUCCAUCAAAUCCAACCCCACAG
rnacentral:misc_RNA from 1 species